rnacentral:lncRNA from 1 species
UUCAAACGUUCUACUGGUAGUUUACGAAUAAAUUUUAUGACAUGCUUGAAUCUUUCGAGUGAAACUUGGUAUGGUGAGUAACAUACAUAUUUUUAGCUAUGCAUCGAUCAUAUCUGAUACUUGUGAUCUGCGUUGGGUUUUGUGUGAAGAGGAACAGAUGAUGCAACACAAUAUAGGUAAGUAUUUCUCUCACUAGAGAACUAAGGUCCAUUGAACGAAUAGGAGUAACAACAAACCCCCGUCCCCCGCGACCACACACAAGAGAAACAAACACUUGCACCCAACGCAGGCAAGAGGGUUGUCAAUCCCCUUGUCUUGUUAUUUGCAAGCAAGUACAUAUUGUGGUUGGAAUUUGCAAAGUGAAACAUAAAUAAAUAAAGUCAGCGAGCAAAUUGUAACAUUUGUAAACCUAUAAGAGAAUAGACCCGAGAGCCAUAGUUGUCCUCAUUGGCAUCUCUCAUGAAAGUAAGCAUACACUAGGUAAACAAAUUACCAUCAGACAAUUGAUAGAAAAGCUCAUAGGUAUGUGAUAUUCAUGACAAUGAUCAUGUGUAUAUAGGCAUCACUUCCAUAAGCAAAUAGACUGACUCCUGCAUGCACCUACUACUAUUACUCCACCUAUCGUCCGCUAUCUAGCAUGCAUCAAGAGUAUUAAGUUGUAGAGGCCCUCAUGGGAGCAACAAGGAUGAUCUAGAGGUCCUCCAUGAACGUCCCCCUUCGGCAAGGCACCGUAACAAGGCUCCAGAUGGGGGCAUGAUGGAACAGAGACUUGUGGCGAUGGAAAAAGUGUUUCAUGUUGCUCUAUAGGGUUUUUGGGAUAUAUGUGAAUUACAGAACGUAGAGGUACGCUAGGAGGCAACCAUGGGGAGCAUGAGGCAACAUGGCGCGCCCUCCUGGCCACACUCUGUUAGCUCAUGCUUCCCUUGUUAGGUUUAUCGCCUCCUCUCGAAGCUUUCAGGUUUUCUUUUGUCCAGAAAAAAUCAUCAAAAUUUUUCGUGGUAAUUGAAGUUCCUUUGGUACUGUAAAC